UGUCUUGGGGUGCGGCCAUGGGCCCCAGGCUCCUCUGCUGUGUGGCCCUGUGUCUUCUGGGAGCAGGCCCAGUGGAUUCUGGAGUCACCCAGACCCCAAAACACGUGAUCAAAGGAAGAAAUCAGCAAGUGACAAUCAGAUGUUCCUUUAUCUCUGGACACCUGUCCGUGUACUGGUACCAACAGGCCCAGGGCCAGGAACCCCAGUUCCUCGUGGAGUACUAUAACAAGAAAGAGAGAGAGAAAGGAAACCUCCCCGAUCGAUUCGAAGUGAAACCGGUCGGUGACUCUGGCUCUGAGCUGAUCAUGAGCUCGCUGGAGCUGGCGGACUCAGCCCUGUACCUCUGCGCCAGCAGCCAGGACACAGCCCUGCAGGCUCAGCAGCCUGCUGUACAAAAACAGCCCUGCCCCACUCAGGAAGUGACCGCCAGGGGGCAGCCGCCAGCCAGCCGGGCUCUGCCCCCGCACAGCUGCCUGCCUUCCCCAGGCCCUGUCUCUGCUGCUUACAGAGGUGCUAGGUUUUAA